UGGGGAAUAUUGCACAAUGGGCGCAAGCCUGAUGCAGCCAUGCCGCGUGUAUGAAGAAGGCCUUCGGGUUGUAAAGUACUUUCAGUCGGGAGGAAGGUGGUAAGGUUAAUAACCUUAACAAUUGACGUUACCGACAGAAGAAGCACCGGCUAACUCCGUGCCAGCAGCCGCGGUAAUACGGAGGGUGCAAGCGUUAAUCGGAAUUACUGGGCGUAAAGCGCACGCAGGCGGUUUGUUAAGUCAGAUGUGAAAUCCCCGGGCUCAACCUGGGAACUGCAUCUGAUACUGGCAAGCUUGAGUCUCGUAGAGGGGGGUAGAAUUCCAGGUGUAGCGGUGAAAUGCGUAGAGAUCUGGAGGAAUACCGGUGGCGAAGGCGGCCCCCUGGACGAAGACUGACGCUCAGGUGCGAAAGCGUGGGGAGCAAACAGG
rnacentral:rRNA from 1 species